CUGAUGCAGCGACGCCGCGUGAGGGAUGACGGCCUUCGGGUUGUAAACCUCUUUCAGUAGGGAAGAAGCUUUCGGGUGACGGUACCUGCAGAAGAAGCGCCGGCUAACUACGUGCCAGCAGCCGCGGUAAUACGUAGGGCGCAAGCGUUGUCCGGAAUUAUUGGGCGUAAAGAGCUCGUAGGUGGUUUGUCGCGUCUGGUGUGAAAUCCCAUGGCUUAACUGUGGGCGUGCAUCGGGUACGGGCAGACUAGAGUGCGGUAGGGGAGACUGGAAUUCCUGGUGUAGCGGUGGAAUGCACAGAUAUCAGGAGGAACACCGAUGGCGAAGGCAGGUCUCUGGGCCGCAACUGACGCUGAGGAGCGAAAGCAUGGGGAGCGAACAGGAUUAGAUACCCUGGUAGUCCAUGCCGUAAACGUUGGGCACUAGGUGUGGGGCUCUUUCCACGAGUUCCGUGCCGUAGCUAACGCAUUAAGUGCCCCGCCUGGGGAGUACGGCCGCAAGGCUAAAACUCAAAGGAAUUGACGGGGGCCCGCACAAGCGGCGGAGCAUGCUGAUUAAUUCGAUGCAACGCGAAGAACCUUACCAAGGCUUGACAUACGCGAGAAGCCACCAGAGAUGGUGGUCUCUUUGGAC
rnacentral:rRNA from 2 species